AACGAACGCUGGCGGCAGGCCUAAUACAUGCAAGCCGAACGAACCUUCGGGUGAGUGGCGCACGGGUGCGUAACGCGUGGCAAUAUGCCCUUGGAUGCGGAAUAACGUAGAGAAAUUUACGCUAAUACCGCAUAAUGACUUCGGUCCAAAGAUUUAUCGCCCAAGGAUUAGCCCGCGUUAGAUUAGCUAGUUGGUGAGGUAACGGCUCACCAAGGCGACGAUCUAUAGGGGGUCUGAGAGGAUGAUCCCCCACACUGGAACUGAGACACGGUCCAGACUCCUACGGGAGGCAGCAGUAAGGAAUAUUGGACAAUGGGGGCAACCCUGAUCCAGCCAUGCCGCGUGAAUGAAGAAGGCCUUAGGGUUGUAAAGUUCUUUUAACGGUGAAGAUAAUGACGGUAGCCGUAGAAAAAGCUCCGGCUAAAUUCGUGCCAGCAGCCGCCGUAAAAC
rnacentral:rRNA from 1 species